UUUAUUUUCCAUGGAAUUGAACUUUCCAAUGUCUUCGCACGUCCUCACGUAUUUCCUCUCUCUCCCUCUCCUCUUCCUCACGUAGAAAACCCUCUCUCAUCACAGUCGAACAUAACCAGAACGAUGAUAGAAGAAACCAUAGAGAAGGAAGAAGAACCCAAGUACUCACACAUCUGAACCAAGAAGAAGGAAGAAAAAAAUAAGCAACCAAACAUCCCUGGUUCCAUAUCCAUCCUAUUCACUGCCAAACUUCGAUACCGAGCCGUUGAUUGCGUCGAUUAAGAAGCCAGUGAAAAAAUGGAGAUAUUCAGGGGUUCCAAAUACUUAAUGAGGCCGUGAAGCAUAUUUGGUCCAUCAAAGAAAAGAAGAAUUGAAUGAUCUAUUAGGAGGGGAAAGCGAUGGACUGCCAAAAUUUGCCUAUUUCUAAGAUAUGCUUCUCUCGGAUACAGAGAUCCAAUCUCAAUCUAUACAUCAAAGCUGUUCACUGUGAGCUUCAACCAUUUGCCUGUACCAUUCCUGGUUGUGGGAUGAAAUUUGCAUUCAAACAUAUCAGGGAUAAUCAUGAAAAAUCUGGGUGCCAUGUUUAUACCCAGGGAAAUUUUGAAGAGUCCAAUGAGCAUUUCGUCUAAGACCAAGAGGUUUCAGGAAAAGAACAAGCCUAGAGAUUGAGACCUUGAUGCGGAAAAGGGUUGUUUCGCCUAGUGAAUCAGGUCUCAUGAGACAGGGGGGAGUUGAAUACUUGUCAUGGCUACUUUUUGGAUAUCCACAGGAUUAAACGAUCGUUGGGAGAAGACGGAGAUGCUGCCAUCAAACAUAUGUAAAAGUAUGGUAUUCACAGGAUUAAGAGGACUUGCUUAGAGAAUUCAACAAACAUAUGUAUAAGUAUGGUAUCUUUGUUGAUUUUAAUUGCUAUAUCGUACGAUAGACAUGUUUUGGCU